CAAUUUCGCAGUUCAAAGAGAAGUUCAGAAGCAUACAAUUUCGCAGUAUUUGAAUGGCGUAAGGUAGGAAAACAGUGAAACACCAUUCCGGCAAGAAUCUGAAGAAAAAUUGUUUGUGGUAUUCACAACAGGAGGUCGCGCUGGGCUGUACCACUGCUAGGGCUGCGCCUUGACAACGUGAUCCAGAGUACUUCCUCACCGUGCUGUAGGAAUCGCCCGCAACGUCGCCGUAACAAUGGACCAAUCGCUGCUGCUGGCCCUGCCGGACGACGCGCUGCUGGCCGUGCUGGCGUUCCUGCCGCCGAGACAGCUCUUCAGCUGCCGCGUGCUGUGCCGCCCCCUCCGCGACCUGUGCCUGCACGCGGACCUGUGGCGCCGCGUCCGAGUGAAGGGAUGGGAUCCCACGUUUCGCGCCCCCCUCCGCCUUGCACCCUGCCUCCGCGAACUGUGCCUGGAUUCACUGAUGAAACUGACCCGGGGGCUGAAGACCUGGAGUUGUCUCGCACUGGGUGGUUGUUGCCCGGUUUAAGCUGUUUGUAACCAAUCUGAGCGUGGCGCGGGCUUCGACUGCAGUGUUGAACCAAUGCAACUUAGGGGGUUUAAAGGAGCUCGUUCUGAGCUUUCGUCUCAUUUCCGCGCAAGCCAUAAAGUGGAAUAUCCAUCCACUGGCUGUCGCGAUUAGCAGUGAAAAACCAUCUCCAUAGUUUGCAAAUUAUUAAUUGUUCUCAAGAGCCGCUGUUGCGUUUUUGGAUGAUUGGCUGGUAUCUCUUCUUUGAAGCAGCUCAGCUACGCUUCGUUUUCCAAGAUACUUAUCUGGAAGCUUUACUGAAGGCGCAUCCCGCCACCCUCAAAGAUGUACACCUUACUCGACGCAUAUUCCCUGUCGUCACUGAAAGUGCUACUGACCUGCGCACCUUGUCUUCGAAACAGACUCGAGGGAUGAUCUGUCCGAACUGAAGAAUUACCAACCUCUCCUCUUUAAAAAUUCGGGCGGUACUGUAAUUUUCCUCAAGGUGUCCUGAAACUCCUGCGGGGGGCACCGCGGCUCCGCUCUGUGUGGGUUUCCUUGCACCGAUCCUGAUCCCACUGCCCCGCUGCGUGAACUGGCCGCAUCGCCCUCGGCCCGUAUCCUUGAGACCCUUUUGGACGUGCUUUCAUCGUACAGCGUCCUUGGCCCAUGACCGCCGCUUUGCCUCAGUUCCCGGCGCUGCGGACCCUCUCCAUGGUUACAGUUAUCAGUACAAGGAAGUGGACUUGGCGGACUUCGUGCGGGCCGUCAGUCCAACGACAGCCCACGCCUCACCAUGCGGGCGCUGCAGUUACCCCUCCUGAAGGUGUGUGCCCUCAAGCGUGGCUUCAGGGCCCUCUAACGAGACCUGCUGCAAAGGAACCCUUUCCUCCACCUCCGCGUCCCUUUGGAACCCUGUUAUACGUUAAUUGCUCGUGGUGCUU